rnacentral:rRNA from 1 species
UCAAUCUCGUGCGGCUAUAUAUACCGCCGGUCCCUCUAAGAAGAUUUUCAUUGCACGCCGAUAGUUGAAGACCGCGCGAGCGCGGACCCUCGUGAUAUCGGAGAUACGUCUAUUUAAUAGGCUAGAGUUACGUUCGUUAC